rnacentral:lncRNA from 1 species
GGUGUACAGACAGGAAAGGUAGAGCCAGUAUUGGCAAAGAUCCUGAUGGAAAUUUAUGGUUUAGUUUUUUGUUGUUUUUUUUUCUUUCUUUUUUUCCCCAAGAUAGGAGAGACUGAAGGAUGGAUGGAUGGAUAAGAGACUUUGGACAUUCUGGACUUUGUGGAGAAGAAAGGGUCCAGAGGCAGGCAGAAACACACCAGCAGUGAAAAAAGCAAAAUGAAGAAACUGAGACGGAAAAGUUAAGUGACUUGUCUCCAGGAUCCCACAACUAAUAACCAAGAAGCAACCUUGAGAUGGAUGUGACCAGAAUCAGAGGUGAUUUUAUCAGUUCCAGUGAUCUGCAGGUCUUUAUG